AGUCCAGCAGAAAUAGCGUAAAUAAUUAUCUAAACAUAAGAACCAUAAAUAAAAUAGCAUGCAAUAAUAUCGUACAGUAACUACCAUAAAUAACUACCAUAAGGGAGACACAAGCCAAAACACAAAUCAUCUAUGGAUAGCCCUGCCAAGCCUUACCCAACUCCGGGAGAGGAGUAUGAAAAACUCUAGGAGCCCCUAUCCUACAACCCUGAUACUAG
rnacentral:lncRNA from 1 species